rnacentral:lncRNA from 1 species
AUGUACAGCUUCUUCCUUCUUUGUAUUUGCCUCAGAACAAGAGCAACGGAGAAAGCUGUACAGGGAGCGGGAGCGAGAGCUAGGACAGACGAGGAAUGGGGAGCUACCUGGGAGCAAGGCUUUUCCCUUGUAACGGAGCCAAGCCACCAAUUUCGCCUUGGGCCAGAUGAAAAGAUCAAAACGUUCUUUGUAGAAUGGAAAACAUUGGUAAGACCCAAAACCAAAAGAGCUAAAAAAAAAAAAAAUCCAACCUAUCACUUGAAACAAAAGCAAAAAUUAAAUCUUGCUUUUAAAUCAAUCUUACUUUUUUUUUUUUUAAAUCAAUCUUACUUUUAAAGUGAGUUUUAUUCCUCUUUCCUUGUGCCUUGUCUUAGAUAUGUCUUUCCCAGGGGCAGGGUCUAAUGUUUAUUUAUUUCAUAGAAAAUAUUUGGAAAACAUACCCGACGAUGACAUACACUGUCCACUAGGUACAUAUUUUUAAUCACCAGCAUUGAAACUAAACUCACAAGCAUUUUACAUUCUUAAUCCAGACAGAACCAUCCUAUUCUGGGGCUCCUGGGUGGCUCAGCGGUUGGGCAUCUGCCUUCUGCCCAGGGUGUGAUCCCGGGGUCCUGGGAUCAAGUCCCACAUUGGGAGCCUGCUUCUCCCUCUGCCUGUCUCUCUCUCUCUCUCUCUGUGUCUCUCAUGAAUGAAUAAAUAAAAUCUUUAAAAAAUAAGAAAAAGAACCAUAGUAUCCCUUGUGUGCAACAGAGCACAUGGCUGACAUUUAAUAAAUGCUAGAUAAAAUAGAAGCCGUACUUCAAAGUAACAAUAGCUGAAGAAUCUCAUUAACACAAAGUAAGAUAAACAAGCUACCAUCGCACAUCUGGAUUGGCGUAGCUAGGCACCUUUCCCCCCGACUGCUACAAAGACACGGAGCAGCUAGGAUCUUACCCGACAUGCUGGGCAGCAUUUUCCAUCCAACACCAUGGUGAGAGACAGGAAAAAAAAAAAAAAAAGAUUCUUUUGUCCAGUUCUCUUCCCUAAUUAUACCUUGGGUCUAAAUAAAGAAAAUACAGCACACAUAA